rnacentral:lncRNA from 1 species
CUACCAUUGGUACAUGUGAGAUGCAGGAAGUGAUGUAAAGAACUACCUAUAUAUUUCACAUCACUUCCUGUGAUCGCUCUCUCGGUGGUGUUGGGAGCUCUGGGCUGCAUUUGACAUACUUGCGGGUUUUGGCUCUGUAGCGUGAUUUAGGUGAGGUGUCUUCCCUGAGCAACCUUGGGCAAAUUUUCCUGCCAACUGGAGGUCAAGUGGAAUCUCAAUUACCCAAGAUAAUGAAUAUUUAAUUCGCAUAAAUAAAUGAGUAUUAGUUCAUUUUUUCUACUUCAUUGGUAACUUGAAUGGAGGACAUUAACAGCUGGGAAUGAACAACUGUCAGUUUCCUCAGUACAAUGAACUGGAAAAGGAACCCCAAAUUGGCAUCCUGAAGAGUCAGAGAUGACUGAACAACAACAACCAAUAUAUAAAGUACCUCCAGGAAAAAAAGCCUGGAACAUGAAACAAACCCCAGGAACUCUGCAGAACCAGACCAAGGAGAAUGAAGAGGAAAUAAGAAAAGCAAGCGUUUCACAUGAAGAGCCAAUGUACUCCACUGGUAUACUUGCUGUGGAAAGAGAUAGAACUAUUCUCAGUAAAGCCAGAAAGUCUUCCCAAAAAGAUGAAGUCAAAGAUCCAUUUGAUGUUGCAUCAAUGGGAUGAAAUUUGAAAUAAUUCUAAGAAAUAAUUUCUGCAACAACUUAUAGAUAUGAGAUGUACAGAAUAUCUGGAAAAUAGAAAAAACCCAAA